rnacentral:rRNA from 1 species
GACGAACGCUGGCGGCGUGCUUAACACAUGCAAGUCGAACGGAAAGGCCCUGCUUUUGUGGGGUGCUUGAGUGGCGAACGGGUAAGUAACACGUGAGUAACCUGCCCUUGACUUUGGGAUAACUUCAGGAAACUGGGGCUAAUACCGGAUAGGAGCUCCUGCUGCAUGGUGGGGGUUGGAAAGUUUCGGCGGUUGGGGAUGGACUCGCGGCUUAUCAGCUUGUUGGUGGGGUAGUGGCUUACCAAGGCUUUGACGGGUAGCCGGCCUGAGAGGGUGACCGGCCACAUUGGGACUGAGAUACGGCCCAGACUCCUACGGGAGGCAGCAGUGGGGAAUAUUGCACAAUGGGCGGAAGCCUGAUGCAGCAACGCCGCGUGCGGGAUGACGGCCUUCGGGUUGUAAACCGCUUUCGCCUGUGACGAAGCGUGAGUGACGGUAAUGGGUAAAAAAGCACCGGCUAACUACGUG